CACAAUGGCUUUUAAUCCAUGCAUGUAUAAUUCAUCGUGUUGAACAAUGUUCUUACUGUGCAGAUUGUGGAUUUAAAAAAAAAAAAAAAUGCUGUGAUUAAAUACGCUUACCUUUGUUUGCGAAGAAUCAACAGGAAAAUUAGAAGCGUGUGGGAGAGAGGCAAAAGAAGAAAACACACAUUAGCAAGUAGGUAGAAAUCAUUCACAUUGCACAAACAGGAAAGCAUAACAGUAUUUUUUUUGCACACUCUUUUCAAACAAGUCUAGGAAAAACAGGGGACAAACCCUGCUUCCUUUCAGAGUACCUUGGGAGGAACAUAUGUUUCCGGGAGCACCAUCAAAUAUGUUUUCAGAGCGGGCCAAACGUUUUUAAUUAGCCAUGGCUCUAUUUGUUUUCAUUUGCGUGAUUUAUCCCCUUUCAUUUGGCAGCUUGCUAACAUGUCCCAGACCAGGGAGACCAACGUUGCUUGGGGUAAAUGGAUACGUACGUCCAGCCCUUGAAAGGACCGAAGUGAGCUCGUGAGUCUUAUUGGAGCGGAGUGGAGGCCACCUGGCGAGUGGAUAUUCACCAGGAAUACCAACGGAUACGCUUGAGUAGGAAUAUUGCGUGCGCCCUGGCGUAUGAUCCUUUGUGUAAACACAUUUCCUUUGAUGCAAAAGCCUCGGGGGAGUGAGAGGUAUGGGGGAGAUGAAAGUAGGAUGUGGCCUUAAGACCUAAAGAUGGCUUAUUAGAUAUUUGGACAAGCGUUUUUGGACUACAUAAAGCUGUCUUUGCCUGAGGGGGAGAGAGUGGCUAGAUGGUUUUCAGGUUCUGUAAUACAAAUGUUUGUAUGGCCAGCAUCACGUCUGAUGAAGAAAAAUCAAUCAUUUGGAUAAUCUGAUUCUUAAACUGGGGAGUAGACAGUCCAUGAACCACAUUUUAGGAGCCUAAAAUAUAUUGUAUCAUUUAAAAAAAAGUGUGUGGCGAUAUACUAAUGUAUUAAAACAAAUAUAGGCCAUCGAUUUGGUCCUAAACUCACUCAGAACUAAAGAUGCAUUAAUAUGUCGUAUGUUUUUUUGAAUUACGCCAUAAAGACCUGAAUUUGUGGUAAUGCAGGCAAAAUAAGCUGGAAUGUGCACUUCUUUUAAGGCAAUAUGUCCCCUGUCUGGCUGCAUUUCAAUGUCUGAGAAAGAACCCAGGAUGGCAAUUUGCUAAAUGUAUCAAGUGCAAAUUUCAAGAGGGUGUGUAUUUACAAAGAACUUUUCCACAUCAGGUUUAAUCCAACAUCUGAAAUCGAAGCACCCAGGUCUCCAUUCAGAAUAUGAAAGCAACAUGGCUCAGACAAGGAAAUUCUCCACAAGCACGUCUGCGCUGUCUCUGCAGGAUGUUUUUGAAAAGGCAAAAACAUUUCCCAAGACAAAAGGCAUUACAUGAAAAAUUCUGGAAUUUAUUGCUUUGGGUGACCGAAUGUUCUUAAUCGUGGAGGACGUGGGAUUUCGUCAGCUAGUCGAGCACAUAGCCCCCCUCCACCCAAGCAGACCCAGUUUAACAGACGUGUGUUUACCAGAGCUGUUUAAUAUUGUUGCAAAUCACGUUCAAUUGACUUUUAACGGCAUAUAUUUCAGCCAUCAUUCACGACCCUCAUUCGGACCUCAUACUAGACAUGUGUUGAUUACCGGUUUCAAGGUAUACCGUGGUAUGAAAGCAUCAAGGUUUCAAAACCACAAAAUAUUUUACAUCAUACCAUCCCUAAGGUAUUACGUCCCAAAAAUGCAUUGAAAAAUCCCUCGCUUGCAGCUGUAAGGCCCAAUCCUCCCCAACCGGUUGUUUUUCAGUGUCAGUGAGAGUCAGCUGUGCUACACGAUUGGCUGGAGGAGCCUUAAUUUUUACCCCCAUCGAAGAAAACGAAAUCCCUGGUAUGGGAAUACUUCGGCUACAGAAAAGUUACAGACGUGUACAUGUUUGUGGAGGGUGGCUGCCGAGGAGGAAAUACCUCCAAAAUGAUUUCGCAUUUAUACAAAAUUAAAGGUUAGUCAACACUGUCAUGAACGAUUCCCACCAGCACGAGAGUUAACUCCUGUGUGUUUAGUGUGUCUAGCGGUGGUAAAACAUGUGGUGUUUUUUUCUCUCUGGCAACUGUCUAUGUUGAGAAAGAGUGCAUAUCAUGUAAACAUGAUACGAGUCAUACACACGUGCUUUUUAUGGAAAAUAAUUCAAUUAUUUUUCUUCUGAUGGUAAUAAUGUUUAGCUGUGGCUGUGGCUCACAUAAAGGACAUCAUUUAUUUUAAUUUUAUUUAGAAUAUAUUGUUAUUUUUUAAAAAUUAUUUUUACUUAACAUUAUACUUAUGUUCCAAUUUGCUAAUACAAUAUGUAUUUUGAAAAAUAAAAAUCCUGUUAAAUUGGAAAAAAGUUUUUUAUUUUAUUUUUUUUAAUUUUUAACCUGGAUAUCUCAAAGUAACACAUUUUAAAGCUGUAAUUGCAAUACCGUCAUACCGUGAAACCGUGAUAUUUUUGGCUUAAGGUUAUCAUACCGUCAGAAAAUUAUACUGGCACAUGCCUAAAAGCCACACCAGUAUGCUUAAUCUAAUGCCACAGUGGAUCGGCACAGAUUUCAAUUUGCAACAUAUUUUGCUAAAUUCACAGUGGUUCAAAGGGUUACAUAAAGUAGUAACAAUUUCUGACGCAUUUGAAAAAAAUGUUGGACAUUUGUGGUAUCGUCGGAUAAAAGGUGCACGCCAUAUUCAAUGACAGUGCAAGAAAUAUGAUAAGAGCUUGGGUGAAAGUUGGCCGGAAGGGUCCGGAAAGCCGUUCCGGUAUAAGAUUCGGGGCUGGAAUGCCCUUCCGGUAUAUAGUGCUUUGAUCCUGAAAAUAUGACGGCAACUGUCAGAACGCUAUGUAAAAAAAAAAAAAAAACUGCAAGGUUGCCACACACGCAUCUCAUCUCCAAGAAGAAAACAAUCUAGCCGCCCUGGACUCAGUUGUCCGUUCGGUUGGCUGACAUACUGGCAUGUGAUCAGCAAACAUAGUAAGCUCUGAUUGGUUUAAAUGUACAUGUUUUAUGGAACAGCCAAAAAAAAAAAAAAAAAAAAAAGAACAAGUUUGUUGAAUUGAUGCCAUAAAAAAGGCCAAUGCAACAGAAAAUGGACCAAAUCUUAAAGAGCAAGGAAAGAGUUGAGGAGGCUUAUCUAUGAUAUUGUAUUUUAUUUGCUCUGAUGGGGAGGUUCAGAACAUCUUACCUUUCAAUGUGCACUUUGGACUUAUUUUUGUUCAUUCAUGUUAGGCUUCUUAUUCAUUUCCUUAUAAUUAAAAAAAGUAAAUGUUUGCGCGAUCUUCAAAAUAUACAGUAUUCCAUUUCACUGUGCACAAUAUGUCAUUUUUACUUAUUUUUGUGAAUGUAUGUUACUUAUAACAAAAAGUAAAUGUUUACAUAAACUUCAAUUUUAUUGGACAUCCUAUGUUCUUAAGUAGUUGAAAUUGAGAUUUUGCAUUUAGAUGUGAGGGAAUGAGGGAAAAUAAAAAAUACGAGAUGGAGGUCGGGGUUAUUGUUUUUUUUUUUGCAAAUCAUUGAAGCAGUUUUCUUAAUAUUUCAGUGGAUUUAGGAGGGAAAAAAACUCAUACCGGUCAAGUUGUACGGUUUCGGCGUAAUUUGUACAAGUGAGCACUGAUUUUUAAAUGUGUAUGCCGUACAUUCAAAAUCGUUUUUCGUGCAUUACGUUUUUUUUCUCCAUUCGGAUUUUGUCACCUUUUCGGCAACGAGACAAUGCGCAUUAUUAUGCGUUACUAUGUUGGUUGAAUGACAUGAGAAAAGUCAGAGACGGAGAGAGAAGAGCGGGAGUGGGAAAGAGGGAGUUGUGACGCCGUUGCAAACGCGAUGCUAGGCUAGGUGACUCCAAUAAUACCUGACCGGAGCCGACAGCCUACAAACUACGCCCACAUGAUGCCACGCUAUAUAUCACAUGUACUGUAUAUGAACUAGAUGCGAAAUGAUACACUUGCCGGCGUUGGUAAACAGACACCAUCUUAAAGCAGUAGACUUCUCAAAAAGGCUCUGUUGUAGUAUCCUUCCUAGCGAACCUAAGUAACUUUUUAUCUAAAAUACUCCUAAAUCGGCAAAUCUUGACUUGAAUCUAUCUUUAAUUGAUGAAACAGUUUUAAAACUUUGUUAUAGAUUUUUUUGGAGAAGUAAUUUGUAACUGUAAUCAAUUACUUUUUGUAAAGUAAGAUUAACUACACUGGUCAUAAAGAUGCAGUCUGCAGAAUGAAAAGCUAUGCUGUGACGAAUUAGCAAAAGAAAUAUUCCCUGACUCAAAGAUUGCAUCGCUAAGUUAAUUUUAUCAACUGACCUUUUUAAUUUAUAAUUGGACACACUAACAAACUACCUUCAAAUCAAGCUGAAUUGCGAGCUGAAGUGCCAUGAAGUGCAGUCAUCAAAAGACUUGAUAGAAAUGGCCAAAAGUGCUACAUACAAUUAUAACAAAAGUCACUGUUAAAUUUUAGUAAUCAUGAUGGUGCUGAAGAUAUCGAUUGUUCUUUGAUUGCACCAGGUUAUAUGUGACAAUAUUACCAAUGAAUUCAUAUUAUUUUAAAAAUUGAGUUUUAUUUUUGUUUCAUAUUGCACGCUAUAUAAAACGUAAGAUUACUCACCAAUUUGUAAGGGCAUACGUCACUAUUUGUAAGAUUGCCAACGGCCUCUGGUUGACAGGUAUGAAAAACUAAAUGAAUACAUAAUAAUAAAUAAGAAUUCUGACUCCGUGGUGACCUUCAUGUCAGGGGUUUCCAGCAAGAAACCCAAAAUGUUCCUUGAUUUACAAACCAUAACCCUAAAACUGAAAAGCAAACGUUUUACUCGGAUCCUACAUGGUCGCGUUAAGCAUUUAAAGCAGCAACACAAAUAAAUGGCCAGCCAGGUGACCUAUGACAGGCAUUGAAAGAGAAACAAAGUGCCACUGUUUAGUUUUUGAUCGAUAUAUUGUAUGUAAUUAUUUUUCUUAUGUCCACAGAAUGGAUCUGCCUUUACUUGGGUCUCUACACGAACAAAUGAUCAAGCGAGCCACUGUUCAAGAGGGGUGCGUCUUGACUCUUCAAUAAGGGAUUAAACAGCAGUGUUAAGAUUUAAAACAAGAUUUAAGUGCUCACCCUUAGAAACUUACAGCCCAAGGGCUUUGAGGAGGCUGAUGAAGGUAAAGUGCAAAAAGGACAGGAGAUGAGGUGCCCCUGAGACAUGACACCAGGGUGGUGUCGGCGAAAAUGAAGCCAAAGGGCGAUGUGACUAGAGCGGCUCUGCCUCAGAAUGAGAGCGCUUGCUAUUAACUCCCAGCCCGGGGACAUGUGGCAGGAAAUAAGAGUGCACGAAGGCUCCGAUUCACAGUGGCUACACAGUCUGCUGGGACUUAUCAUAAAACACAGGAAAUGCUGUUGGACUCACUAGCUGAUCCAAUUACGAAUCAAGGUUUUUUAGCAUUCAUGUCCAAGUACGACAUCCCUGAGCAAAAAAAAAAAAAAAAAAAAAAAAAUUCCUGACAGCUGGCUGUGACUGGCCAUAUUGGUGGAAGGCUUAAAUGUGCCAGGGAGCAGAUUUUAAUGCAUAGCUGUGCUAAUGGACCUGUCAGGAGUUGAUUCCAGACCGUCAAACUUAAUAUCUCGGUAACUCAAAACAGCCUUUGCUGUUGCGUUUGGUAUCCUCCAAAUUCACGUCGUGGGUUUUUCUGGGUCACUUUGCAAAAUUAUAAGGGAGUCCACAAUGAUGUUGAGGUUACGGACAAAGACCUUUAACUUCUAAAGAAAAGACUGAAAGAUGUAACUGACCCCAAUAAAAACAGCUAAAACAGGAUGCGGUGUUUUGUUUGGUUAGGGUUUUCCAGACUUGAACCCUAUAGAGUGGACCAUCCUUUUUAACAGGGAAAAGGUUGGCAGUAAAACCCCAAAACAACACAAAUGAAAAUGGCAUCAUUGAAAAAUUCCAUCAUAUCAAAGAUUCGUAGUUUACUGACGGAUUAAGGAAUGUGUUGUUGAAUGUGAAACUGCUAUUUGAGUCACCACACUGCUAAAAAUUGAUUAAUUACAUUUUCCCCAUUAAGGACAAGCACAUUUUUGUUUUAGGGGGGUUAAGAACAGGUUGUCAUUCUCAUUAAUUUCACUAGUCAAAUAAGUGUUUUAAAAUACAAGAAUUAUAAUGGAAAACAUUUAACUCCCAGGGUGAUGCUAGUUUUUCCCAAUUUCAAUCAAACAACCAAUUAAUCCAAAGUUUUUAAAUCAAUUGUCCCAUGACGUACAACCCCUGACCCGUGAUGCUUGGCAGCGCAGUAAGUAGAGGUCGCAACCAGGCACUUUAAUAAAUGUGUUAAUUCUGACCGCGGUGGGCAGAGACAAUGCUAAAAUGGGAGACUGGUUCCACACCAUUAAUUUCCGCCGUCUGUCUCGAAGGUGGAAGCGGGGAGAGGGAGACGUGCCGCAGGGGGGAAAUGAAGACCAUACAUCACGCUGAGGCACCCCAGUGAGUCUGACACAGCUUCUGCUCUGCUCAGCUUUAACGGCCACGUCAAUAAUGCUGGCUACUACGCCAGCCUUGAGCUCCCCGUGGGCACCUGAUCCUACAACAACCCAUACGACGACGGCAACAAGCAGAGCUUCGUCUACUUUGACCCCGUGCACCUUUGGGAGAACAUCUAUAGCAGCUUCCACAACAUCGGCUGUAUGGUGCUGUCCAUGUGUCCUGGGACUGAAGAGCCUGAGAGGAUGAGGACGGCCUGAUUCUCGAGCCUGAAGGUGCUGGCUAGGUGGAAGAACUACAAGUCUGUCAAGGCCAGCUACAAGGUGACCCAGAAGGUGCUGGCGCGCUCUUUGAUCGAGAAGCAGAGCGUCGGGCUCAUCAUGGCGGUCGUCAACGCCAACAUGGUCGCCGAGCUGAGGCUCCUCACCACGACCAUGGGAAAGGAGGAACACAGGGACACGGCCAACAUCCUGGAGAUAUUCCAGAGGACAAGGAAAAGCUGGAGAAGGGCCGGGCGGUUCUCAAGCGGCCAUCUCUCGCCAUGGCCCACAUGGCGUCCUUCGGAAUGUCGCUAUGGGACUCCCUGAUGUGCAGGAAGCACAAGAGCUCCAGCUCUUCAGCUGUUUUGGUGCAAACUUCUCCAAGGAUGUAACUUCAGAAGCGAGGAAGAACAAGGCCUUGGAGUGGCCGAUCGGCAGGAAAAGGAGCAGAGUUGAGGAGGGCAGAAAGGAGACGGCGAGGAACAAGAACUUGUACAAGUCGAGGAAGAUGACCAGAAAACGCCAGGCAUAGAAAGAGGCUAUGUGAUCGUUGAAAGACGAGGCUCACAUACUGAUAACACCACAUCAACUACUUGCACUGCCUGAAUUAUAGGAAUAUCUCAUACGCAUUUUAUAUUUAUGUUUAUUUAUAUUUCAUACUUUAUACUUGCAAGUCACUUUUGAGAUUUUAACUUCUUGCAAGUCACUUUUGAGAUUUUAUCUUAUCCUGCACUGUAAAGGGAGAUGCUCCACAAUUUCA